rnacentral:rRNA from 1 species
UAACCGAAGUGAGGGCCUCGUGGUCCGACCUCCACCCAUUGUUGUCCGACUCUGUUGCCUCGGGGGCGACCCGGCGCUUCGGCGCCAGGGGGUCCCCGCUGGUCCACACAACUCUGCAUCUUUGCGUCUGAGUAAACAUUAAAUGAAACAAAACUUUCAACAACGGAUCUCUUGGUUCUGGCAUCGAUGAAGAACGCAGCGAAAUGCGAUAAGUAAUGUGAAUUGCAGAAUUCAGUGAAUCAUCGAAUCUUUGAACGCACAUUGCGCCCCCUGGCAUUCCGGGGGGCAUGCCUGUUCGAGCGUCAUUACACCACUCAAGCCUGGCUUGGUAUUGGAGGUCGCGGUCCGCCGCGCCUCCUAAUGUCGCCGGCCGAGUCGUCUGUCUCCGAGCGUUGUGAAUCUUCAAUUCGCUUUCGAGUACAGGCGGCGCGCGCCGUUAAACCUCUUUUUCAGGUUGACCUCGGAUCAGGUAGGGAUACCCGCUGAACUUAAGCAUAUCAAUAAGGCGGAGGAAACUAGGAGGCAAGAG